rnacentral:rRNA from 1 species
UUGGAGGGCAAGUCUGGUGCCAGCAGCCGCGGUAAUUCCAGCUCCAAUAGCGUAUAUUAAAGUUGCUGCAGUUAAAAAGCUCGUAGUUGAAUUUCGGGAUCAUCAUGUCGGUCGUGCCUCGGUACGUACUGGCAUUGUUGGUUUCUACCUUCUGACGAACCAUGAUGUCAUUUAUUUGGUGUCGUGGGAAAUCAGGACUGUUACUUUGAAAAAAUUAGAGUGUUUAAAGCAGGCUCACGCUUGAAUACAUUAGCAUGGAAUAAUGAAAUAGGACGUUUGAUUCUAUUUUGUUGGUUUCUAGGAUCGACGUAAUGAUUAAUAGGGAUAGUUGGGGGCAUUAGUAUUCAAUUGUCAGAGGUGAAAUUCUUGGAUUUAUUGAAGACUAACUACUGCGAAAGCAUUUGCCAAGGAUGUUUUCAUUAAUCAAGAACGAAAGUUAGGGGAUCGAAGACGAUCAGAUACCGUCGUAGUCUUAACCAUAAACUAUGCCGACUAGGGAUCGGAUGAUGUUAAUUUUUUAAUGACUCAUUCGGCGCCUUACGGGAAACCAAAGUGUUUGGGUUC